UACGUAGGAUGCAAGCGUUGUCCGGAUUUACUGGGCGUAAAGGGCUCGUAGGCGGCCAACUAAGUCAUACGUGAAAUCCCUCGGCUUAACCGGGGAACUGCGUCUGAUACUGGAUGGCUUGAGUUCGGGAGAGGGAUGCGGAAUUCCAGGUGUAGCGGUGAAAUGCGUAGAUAUCUGGAGGAACACCGGUGGCGAAGGCGGCAUCCUGGACCGAUACUGACGCUGAGGAGCGAAAGCCAGGGGAGCAAACGGG
rnacentral:rRNA from 1 species